rnacentral:rRNA from 1 species
GGAUCAAACAGGAUUAGAUACCCUGGUAGUCCACGCUGUAAACGAUGAUCACUCGCUGUUGGCGAUAUACAGUCAGUGGCUAAGCGAAAGUGAUAAGUGAUCCACCUGGGGAGUACGACCGCAAGGUUGAAACUCAAAGGAAUUGACGGGGGCCCGCACAAGCGGAGGAGCAUGUGGUUUAAUUCGAUGAUACGCGAGGAACCUUACCAGGGCUCGAACGCAGGGGGAAUAUUUCUGAAAGGGAAUAGCCAGCAAUGGUCGCCUGCGAGGUGCUGCAUGGUUGUCGUCAGCUCGUGCCGUGAGGUGUCAGGUUAAGUCCUAUAACGAGCGCAACCCCUAUCCUUAGUUGCCAACAGGUUAAGCUGGGAACUCUAGGGAAACUGCCUGCGCAAGCAGAGAGGAAGGUGGGGAUGACGUCAAAUCAGCACGGCCCUUAUGUCCUGGGCUACACACGUGCUACAAUGGCCGGUACAGAGGGCAGCCACCACGUGAGUGGGAGCCAAUCCCAAAAACCGGUCUCAGUUCGGAUCGGAGUCUGCAACCCGACUCCGUGAAGUUGGAUUCGCUAGUAAUCGCGCAUCAGCCAUGGCGCGGUGAAUACGUUCCCGGGCCUUGUACACACCGCCCGUCAAGCCAUGGAAGCUGGGGGUACCUGAAGUCGGUGACCGUAAUAGGAGCUGCCUAGGGUAAACUUGGUAACUGGGGCUAAGUCGUAACAAGGUAGCCGUACCGGAAGGUGUGGCUG